CCAACGGCCCUUUUUAGGGCCACCAACUUUACAAGCCACUAAAAC
rfam:Necator americanus N_americanus-1.0_Cont375.11, whole genome shotgun sequence.